rnacentral:rRNA from 1 species
GAUGAACGCUGGCGGUAUGCUUAACACAUGCAAGUCGAACGGACUCUUCGGAGUUAGUGGCGGACGGGUGAGUAACGCGUGAGAAUCUGGCUUUGGGUUCGGGACAACCACUGGAAACGGUGGCUAAUACCGGAUGUGCCGAGAGGUAAAAGAGAAAUUGCCUGAAGAUGAGCUCGCGUCUGAUUAGCUAGUUGGUGAGGUAAAGGCUCACCAAGGCAGCGAUCAGUAGCUGGUCUGAGAGGAUGACCAGCCACACUGGGACUGAGACACGGCCCAGACUCCUACGGGAGGCAGCAGUGGGGAAUUUGCCGCAAUGGGCGAAAGCCUGACGGAGCAAUACCGCGUGAGGGAAGAAGGCUCUUGGGUUGUAAACCUCUUUUCUUAGGGAAGAACAAAAUGACGGUACCUAAGGAAUCAGCAUCGGCUAACUCCGU